UCAGGCCUAACACAUGCAAGUCGAGCGGAAACGAGUUAUCUGAACCUUCGGGGAACGAUAACGGCGUCGAGCGGCGGACGGGUGAGUAAUGCCUAGGAAAUUGCCCUGAUGUGGGGGAUAACCAUUGGAAACGAUGGCUAAUACCGCAUGAUGCCUACGGGCCAAAGAGGGGGACCUUCGGGCCUCUCGCGUCAGGAUAUGCCUAGGUGGGACUAGCUAGUUGGUGAGGUAAGGGCUCACCAAGGCGACGAUCCCUAGCUGGUCUGAGAGGAUGAUCAGCCACACUGGAACUGAGACACGGUCCAGACUCCUACGGGAGGCAGCAGUGGGGAAUAUUGCACAAUGGGCGCAAGCCUGAUGCAGCCAUGCCGCGUGUGUGAAGAAGGCCUUCGGGUUGUAAAGCACUUUCAGUCGUGAGGAAGGUAGUGUAGUUAAUAGCUGCAUUAUUUGACGUUAGCGACAGAAGAAGCACCGGCUAACUCCGUGCCAGCAGCCGCGGUAAUACGGAGGGUGCGAGCGUUAAUCGGAAUUACUGGGCGUAAAGCGCAUGCAGGUGGUUUGUUAAGUCAGAUGUGAAAGCCCGGGGCUCAACCUCGGAAUAGCAUUUGAAACUGGCAGACUAGAGUACUGUAGAGGGGGGUAGAAUUUCA
rnacentral:rRNA from 1 species